rnacentral:rRNA from 1 species
AAUGAACGCUGGCGGCAGGCUUAACACAUGCAAGUCGAACGCCCCGCAAGGGGAGUGGCAGACGGGUGAGUAACGCGUGGGAAUCUACCUAGUUCUACGGAACAACAGAGGGAAACUUCUGCUAAUACCGUAUACGCCCUAUGGGGGAAAGAUUAUCGGAAUUAGAUGAGCCCGCGUAAGAUUAGCUAGUUGGUGAGGUAAUGGCUCACCAAGGCGACGAUCUUUAGCUGGUCUGAGAGGAUGAUCAGCCACACUGGGACUGAGACACGGCCCAGACUCCUACGGGAGGCAGCAGUGGGGAAUAUUGGACAAUGGGCGCAAGCUUGAUCCAGCCAUGCCGCGUGAGUGAUGAAGGCCUUAGGGUUGUAAAGCUCUUUCAGUGGGGAAGAUAAUGACGGCACCCACAGAAGAAGCCCCGGCUAACUUCGUGCCAGCCGCCGCGGUAA